rnacentral:rRNA from 1 species
GAUCAUGGCUCAGGACGAACGCUGGCGGCGCGCCUAGCACAUGCAAGUCGAACGGAGAUUACAGGCGGAAGUUUUCGGAUGGAAGCUUGUAAACUUAGUGGCGGACGGGUGAGUAACACGUGAGCAACCUGCCUAUCAGAGGGGGAUAACGAUUGGAAACGAUCGCUAAUACCGCAUGACAUAGCGAAACCGCAUGGUUUUGCUAUCAAAGAUUUUAUCGCUGAUAGAUGGG